UACGUAGGGAGCGAGCGUUAUCCGGAUUUAUUGGGUGUAAAGGGUGCGUAGGCGGCCAGAUAGGUCUAUGGUUUAAGCCCGAAGCUUAACUUCGGUUCGCCAUAGAAACCGUUUGGCUUGAGUAUGGUAGAGGCAAGUGGAAUUUCUAGUGUAGCGGUAAAAUGCGUAGAUAUUAGAAGGAACACCAGUGGCGAAGGCGACUUGCUGGGCCAUCACUGACGCUGAGGCACGAAAGCGUGGGGAGCAAA
rnacentral:rRNA from 1 species